rnacentral:lncRNA from 1 species
CUGGGUCAAUAGGGAUUGAAGGUGGGCUCACAGUGAUUGGGGGGCUACCACCUCCAUAAGUUGGUGGUGAGUUGUAGUACCCACCACCUCCUGAGGGAGGAUUUGAUGGUGUUGAAGGGGUUGAUGGUGUCGUCGGGACUGAGGGCGUUGGAGUAGAGGGUUCUUGUGGUGGAGUUCCACAAUUGCUACCAUCAGGUGGCGAUGGGGUUGGAUUGUAACUUCCACCACCCUCAGGUGGCGAUGGGGUUGGAUCAUAGCUUCCACCACCUGGGGGAGUUGAUGGGGUUGGAUUGUAAUAUCCACCACCUGAGGGUGGUGAUGGGUUUGGGUCAUAACUUCCACCACCAGGGGGAGUUGAUGGAGUUGGAUUGUAACUUCCACCAUCAGGGGGAGUUGAUGGGGUUGGAUUGUAACUUCCACCAUCAGGGGGAGUUGAUGGGGUUGGAUUGUAACUUCCACUUCCACCACCGUCUGAGGGUGGUGAUGGGGUUGGGUCAUAGCUUCCACCACCUGGAGGAGUUGAUGGAGUUGGAUUGUAACUUCCAUCACCACCUGGGGGAGUUGAUGGGGUUGGAUUGUAACUUCCACUUCCACCACCUGAGGGUGGUGAUGGAGUUGGAUCAUAGCUUCCACCACCUGGGGGAGUGCAUGGGGUUGGAGUGGAACUUCCUCCACCUCCAUGCGAUGGGGAUCCAUGAUGUGAUGGGGAUCCAUGAUGUGAUGGAGUUCCAUGAUGAG